UACGGAAGGCAGCAGUGGGGAAUAUUGCACAAUGGGCGCAAGCCUGAUGCAGCCAUGCCGCGUGUAUGAAGAAGGCCUUCGGGUUGUAAAGUACUUUCAGUCGUGAGGAAGGUGUUAAGGUUAAUAACCUUAGCAAUUGACGUUAGCGACAGAAGAAGCACCGGCUAACUCCGUGCCAGCAGCCGCGGUAAUACGGAGGGUGCGAGCGUUAAUCGGAAUUACUGGGCGUAAAGGGCACGCAGGCGGUUAAUUAAGUUGGAUGUGAAAUCCCCGGGCUUAACCUGGGAAUGGCAUUCAAGACUGGUUAGCUAGAGUCUUGUAGAGGGGGUAGAAUUCCAUGUGUAGCGGUGAAAUGCGUAGAGAUGUGGAGGAAUACCGGUGGCGAAGGCGGCCCCUGGACAAAGGCUGACGCUCAUGUGCGAAAGCGUGGGGAGCAAACAGGGAUUAGAUACC
rnacentral:rRNA from 1 species